UUGGUUUGUUUCCGGUGGUCGGCUCUCUGCUUUUGCAACAACUUCCACCUGGCAUUCCUCUUUGGUUUUGCGUCAAGGUUGCAUUUCCUUGAGCGCUUAUGGUUUCCUGUGUUGCUUACCUAUGUAACGGUAUCGGUUGAUUAAAUCAAAGUCGUGUUUCAUCAUGUGUCAUUUGUAUGGCGUAGGAUGAACCUCAAAGCAACUUCGAUGAUCCACCUUGUUGAUGCAUACGCAUCAAUGUUGUGGCUCAUUGAGUGUUGCUUGGUUUUUUGGAUAUAGAACACGAUAUGGGUGUGGUUCACAUUCGACCCUUGUUUGCCCUUGUUGAACGUCGUUAUUACUUUGAGAUGACUGCCUAUCCCGAAUUGGCUCGUACAACCGGAGUAGGUUAUGUUGUUGAAGAGCAAUACCAGCGUUCUUGCUUCUUUAAAACAGACGGCCUCGCUUGUAUUUGCUUGUACUAGCGGGUGGGCUAUGUCGAAAAAGGAUGCUACCUGGUUGAUCCUGCCAGUAGUCAUAUGCUUGUCUCAA
rnacentral:misc_RNA from 1 species